AAUAACAUUUGGAAACAAUGCUAAUACCGUAUAAUAAUUAAACCGCAUUGGUUUUAGUUUAAAAGAUGGUCUUGCUAUCACUAAGAGAUGGUCCCGCGGUGUAUUAGUUAGUUGGUGAGGUAAUGGCUCACCAAGACAAUGAUACAUAGCCGAGUUGAGAGACUGACCGGCCACAAUGGGACUGAGACACGGCCCAUACUCCUACGGGAGGCAGCAGUAGGGAAUCUUCCACAAUGGACGAAAGUCUGAUGGAGCAACGCCGCGUGUGUGAUGAAGGGUUUCGGCUCGUAAAACACUGUUGUAAGAGAAGAAUGACAUUGAGAGUAACUGUUCAAUGUGUGACGGUAUCUUACCAGAAAGGAACGGCUAAAUACGUG
rnacentral:rRNA from 1 species